GCAAUAUGCAUUAUUUCAUAUGUUCCUUGGGACAGACCCGAGCAGUAGGCACUGUCUCCUUUGUACAAAGGGUGAAACUGAGGCUCAGAGAGGUUAAGAAACAUCCCUAUGGUCACAGCUCACUAUUAUGACAACGGGAUUAUGGGCUGUUCUGGAAGUGGCCUCCACAGCUCCCGCCUGCGUCACAGUCCCCGGACCUGGUGAAUCUUCAGCCACCGAUGUUUUAAAUCCCUCUGGACACACGAAGACUGAAAACCAGAAGGGGGUUAAUGCAAGUCUUCCGCCAGCUCAGGGACUGUCAAAACCAGAGCCACAGAGCAGCCUCCAGGCUCAUGAGAGCCGAAAGAACCUGGGGACAGAGUCAGCUUUAAGAAACCCAACUCAAGAAAAAGACUGAGUCGAGUAAAAACUGCAUUUGUUAGGAGAAUUCGUGGGGAAAGAAAAAAAAAAGUCUUUACAGGAAUAAACAUGAUUUUUUAUUAAAACUCAAAAAACUUGCCAAGUGUGGGGAGCUCGCUGUCUGAUUGUCAUCCACGGGGAAUUUGAAAAUCCAGGGGUAAAUAAUGCACCGAGGAAAAAGUGCU